CAGUCGCCGCGGUAAUACGUAGGUGGCAAGCGUUAUCCGGAAUUAUUGGGCGUAAAGCGCGCGUAGGCGGUUUCUUAAGUCUGAUGUGAAAGCCCACGGCUCAACCGUGGAGGGUCAUUGGAAACUGGGAAACUUGAGUGCAGAAGAGGAAAGUGGAAUUCCAUGUGUAGCGGUGAAAUGCGCAGAGAUAUGGAGGAACACCAGUGGCGAAGGCGACUUUCUGGUCUGUAACUGACGCUGAUGUGCGAAAGCGUGGGGAUCAAACAGGAUUAGAUACCCCUGUAGUCCCUGUCUCUUAUAC
rnacentral:rRNA from 1 species